UCGCCCGGUUUUAAAAAACAUAGCUUUAUGAAAUUUAUAUUAAGUUUAACCUGCCCAAUGAAAUAUUUAAUGGCCGCAGUACUUUGACUGUGCUAAGGUAGCAUAAUAAAUUGGCUUUUAAUUGAAGUCUAGAAUGAAUGGAUAAAUGAAUAUAUUCUGUCUUAUUUGAAUUAUUUUAAAGUUACUUAUUAGGUGAAAAUACCUAAGAUUUUAUAAAAUAGACGAGAAGACCCUAGGAGUUUAAAUUUUUUGUUGGGGCGACAGUAUAGCAUAUAAUAAACCUAUAUUAUUGAGAAAUUAAAACAAUUUUUUUUAUUAAAAAUAAGCUACCCUAGGGAUAACAGCAUAAUUUAAUAUUAAGUUUGUGACCUCGAUGUUGGACUAGGGACUUUUAAUAUUAACUAUAUUAUAAGAUUUGUUCUGUUCGAACAUUUAAUACCUACGUGAUCUGGUCAAC
rnacentral:rRNA from 1 species